GCCCCUGUAGCUCAACGGAUAGAGUACCUGCCUUCUAAGCAGGUGAUAGAGGUUCGACUCCUCUCAGGGGCA
rnacentral:tRNA from 1 species